GAAAUGCGAUAAUUAAUGUGAAUUGCAGAAUUCAGUGAAUCAUCGAGUCUUUGAACGCACAUUGCGCCCCCUGGUAUUCCGGGGGGCAUGCCUGUCCGAGCGUCAUUGCUGCCCUCAAGCACGGCUGGUGUGUUGGGCUUCCGGCCCUGGCAACGGGGACGGGCCCAAAAGGCAGUGGCGGCACCAUGUCUGGUCCUCGAGCGUAUGGGGCUUUGUCACCCGCUCCCGUAGGUCCAGCUGGCAGCUAGCCUCGCAACCAAUCUUUUUAACCAGGUUGACCUCGGAUCAGGUAGGGAUACCCGCUGAACUUAAGC
rnacentral:misc_RNA from 1 species